rnacentral:lncRNA from 1 species
UGCAGCUACAGGAACUGGCUGCAGCUGCCACUGUCGCCUUGUCAUCCUUGACUUCUCACAUGAUUAAAUUUUAAUUCAAGUCUAUGAAGCGUAAACUUGGUUCAAAUAGCGAGUCUGUGCUGCCACCUGCUGGAAAAUGUGAGAAAAUUGUCUGUUUUAAUGGAAUAGCAGUGAUGUAUGCUGCAUUAAAUAAGAAAACUCAGGUCUGCAGCUUCACUCCUGAAGUCAGCCAGACCGUGAACCCACCAGAAGCAAGAAGGAACAAACUCCGGACUCACCAUCUUUGAGAACUGUAGCACUCAUCACAAGGGUCCAUGGCUUCAUUCUUGAAGUCAGUGAGACCAAGAGCCCACCAAUUCCAGACACAUAAUCACCAGGAAGAUCCAGACACACGCAGAGGUAAGACCAUUUAAAGAUGGAAAGAAGAUUACUGUCUACAAGACAAGGAAAGAGGCCGUAGAAGAAACCAACCAGGCCAAAACUUUCAUCUCAGACUUCUAGCCUUCAGAACUACUUGCAUCACAAGAAGAAAAGAAGAAAAAAGAGAUGUAACUAUGGGAAAUACUGGAUAUGUUAAUUCACUUGACCUGUAGUAAUCACUUCAUUAUAUAUGUAUACCAAAACAUCUUGCAGUACAACUUAAACAUACAGAAUUUUUUAAAAGACUGCAUCUUCAUGCUUGCUUAAGGACAUAAAUUUUCAGAGAGCACUGUGAGAAAAUAAUCAUGUUCAUGGUGAUGUCUAAUCAUCGCCCAAUGGUGCUCAGUGGCAUUAUAGGAGCUAUGAGUAAUACAAAAAUCAGAAGUAUUCCAAUCACAUUGCAUUUGAAUUCUAUGCUCCAAAUUCAUAAUCCAAUCUCCCAUCCAAAUUACUGUUUGACAGAGAUCAUUAAUUUGAUUUGCCAAUUUUUGAUCUAUUUGGCUUUGGGAAUUCCAAAGCUUAGAAGAAUUUUUCUGCCAACUAUCCACAAAGCCUGCAGUUUGAAUAGAAGAGUGCAAAGCAACAGCAGCAGCAGCAGUAGCUGUAACAGCUAUAAGGCCCAGGAUCACAGCUAUUAAAGUCGGUGGAGUUGCUUGGCGAGCUUUACAGUUUCCAUCUGCUCAACAGAGACGUUCUUCUGAGCCAUCUGACGAACUGGGGGUGCAGGGAUGUUCCGAGGUCUUUUCCUCUUCCUUGGAUUCUGGCUCAUGGCACAGCUUAAGAUGUCUUGUGGGUACCCAGACAGGAAGCUGAUUCUCUCCUGGCCUUUUCCAGGAAUAUAGCCCAUGUUUGACAUUAUUUUUUGAUGAGCUUCACCAUACCAGGGAGAAGGGAUUGAAAUUUCUGUGCCCCAUUGCUGAAGCAGAUCUCUCCCCCAUAAGUUAACAAGAAUCAGUAUGUAAGUACUACUCCAGUAUGUGCUUGAAUUCCCUUUAAGUUUAAGCUGGACCUUCUCAGUGUAAGUCCCACCAUGCCAUUUGGCAAUGGGCUGUAAACUCCCGUUGGGACCUUCCUAGGAGGCUCCCCAGGAUGGAGGGAUACAGCUUUGGUACAGCAUAAAUCUACUGCCCUGCCUUUAGCUGUGGAGGAGGACAAUUGCUGUACAUUUGUACAGGGAUAGACUG